CCUGAGGAGGGGGUCGCGCCUCACUGCUCUCCUCAGAGAACAUGGAGCUUCUACCUGCAAACAAACAUUCAAACAAACUACCAUCACCGACGUCUCCAGGUCUCCAAACCACCUGCAACAUGUUUGUCUCACUGCAGCUGCUGCUUCAACAUCAAACACCGACCACAAGAAUGAUUAGUUUUACAGAGUAAAUUCACAGUGUGGAUCAGACUGGUUCCUGCUGGGGUUUAAAUGUUGUUUAAAGCAGAAAUAAAUGAUAUUUUUGUAAGUAAACACAGGAUGCGUUCAGGUACAGCAGGAAACAGGGAGAAGUUUGAGGAAUAUAGUGUAAACAACUGUUUUCUUAUAGUGUAAUUAAAGAGUAAAACAGGUUCACGUCGUAUUACUGACCCUUUACUUUCAGUAACAAACAUUAAUGUUGCGUGGAAGAAAUGAAAAACAGAAUAAAGUCAUGUAUAAUAAAACAUAUAGACGUAGGAGGAUCAAACAUGACUUUAAUAUUUCAUGAGGAAGAUGCUGAUUUUUUAUUUCAUUUCUUUUGAUUGUUUGUUUCUUGAUUAUUUUACUCUUUAAUUACUCAAUCAGAAAACACUAAUCCCCCCAAACUUCUCCUUUGUUCCCAGUACUGCACCUGUAGUCUCCAGGUGUUAUUACUAUUAUCAUCAUUAUCAUCAUUAUUAUUAAAAACAUCUGAAUGUGACACAGCAUCUGUUUCAUAUUCUAAAUAUUUGUAUUUUCUGUUUUCUUUGGUGGUUGAAUGUGUUGUUAUGAUCUGAUCAACUGGGAAAUGUAAUUACUUUGAUUAUUUGCUGUAAAUCGGUUUCAAACUAAGAAAUUUACAAAGACAGAAAAGUUCUGCAAAAUGAUUUCUGUGACAACUGGGAAAACAAUCUGUUGAGGAAGACUGUGUGAUGUGAUCAAAAGCUCUGGAGCAGGAGUAAAGAAAUAAAGUUUUAUUAUUAAUGUA